rnacentral:rRNA from 1 species
UGGGGAAUAUUGCACAAUGGGCGAAAGCCUGAUGCAGCGACGCCGCGUGAGUGAUGAAGGCCUUCGGGUUGUAAAGCUCUGUCUUCUGGGACGAUAAUGACGGUACCAGAGGAGGAAGCCACGGCUAACUACGUGCCAGCAGCCGCGGUAAUACGUAGGUGGCAAGCGUUGUCCGGAUUUACUGGGCGUAAAGGAUGCGUAGGCGGAUACUUAAGUCAGAUGUGAAAAUCCCGGGCUUAACUUGGGAACUGCAUUUGAAACUGGGUAUCUAGAGUGCGGGAGAGGCAAGUGGAAUUCGUAGUGAAGCGGUGAAAUGCGUAGAGAUUAGGAAGAACACCAGUGGCGAAGGCGACUUUCUGGACCGUAACUGACGCUGAGGCAUGAAAGCGUGGGGAGCAAAC